rfam:Asian citrus Psyllid, Diaphorina citri - Florida Strain, whole genome shotgun sequence.
GCCUAGUUAGCUUAGUUGGUAGUGCGUCUGCCUUGUAAGCGCUAGGCCGCGGGUUCGAUUCCCGCCCGGGGUA